UCAGGACGUGCGGAGUCUGUGGACGCUGCCGGGGUGAGAUCGGCCGCUGCGGCUUGGGAGACUCCGUUCCCACGGCUGAGGAGGCCCAAACGCAGCAGAUUCAAAAUACAAACAACGCCCGGCUGCGGAGCUCCCCUCCCCACGUGUCCCUUCGCCAUCUCUCAGCAGCCCAGGGUAGAAGAUGGCUCCCCUGAGCCCCCAGUGUGAGAGGAAAUGACCUUCUGACCACAGCGAUCGAAGCUGAAG